GCUUGCUUUACAAUUCGCCUACAUUCCUCAUCUUCUAUCCAGUAAGCUUCAUACCUGAAAUCCCGACGUUUACGACCUGUUGUUGGAAAAAUUGACAGGAUAAGAGGACAAUGAUCCGACCCGAUGGCUGGCAAGGCGACGACUUCUGCAGUUGGAUAUGCUAUUCUCCAUUCCAUGCAAGAGGUGAUUCUGGUACUAUAUCUGGAUCUUCAAGGAAUGCAGCUUGUUUCCCAUAAAAUACUUUGCCAUAAGGGCUGAGUUCUCGGACUUCCGCACGUAGCCAGUUCCCAAAGUUUCCUGGUUCCAAGAAUGAAGAGGACUACCUCAGCAAUAAAGCCUCGCCCAAGAACGAGGAUUAGACUGGCCCCCUUAGCUUCCUUCAGCCUUGUGCGAAGAUAUGCUCCAUGACG